UGUAGGGGGUAGAGCACUGUUUCGGCUAGGGGGUCAUCCCGACUUACCAAACCGAUGCAAACUCCGAAUACCUACAAGUGCCGAGCAUGGGAGACACACGGCGGGUGCUAACGUCCGUCGUGAAAAGGGAAACAACCCAGACCGUCAGCUAAGGUCCCAAAGUUAUGGUUAAGUGGGAAACGAUGUGGGAAGGCUUAGACAGCUAGGAGGUUGGCUUAGAAGCAGCCACCCUUUAAAGAAAGCGUAAUAGCUCACUAGUCGAGUCGGCCUGCGCGGAAGAUGUAACGGGGCUCAAACCAUACACCGAAGCUACGGGUAUCACGUAAGUGAUGCGGUAGAGGAGCGUUCUGUAAGCCUGUGAAGGUGAGUUGAGAAGCUUGCUGGAGGUAUCAGAAGUGCGAAUGCUGACAUGAG
rnacentral:rRNA from 1 species